rnacentral:lncRNA from 1 species
AAUGAAGGUUGAAGAGAUGAUUUGUACUUUACCUAUACCAACGAUGUGACCUUGGUUAUCAUCUCCAAAAGUCACAGCACCUUCCUUUUUAGGCUCUAGGGUGAAGAAUAGCUCCUUCUCACCCGUCAUGUGUCUUGAGCAGUCACUAUCCAAGUACCAACAGUUUUUGUCGACCUUGGCUGCAAGACACUCCUACACAAAGAAAUCAUAUAAUUUUAGGUACCUAAGUUUUCUUGGGUCCUUCAAGGUUAGCUAUGUUGGUUUCUUUUGGAACCCAAACCUUUUUAAUUUUUCUUUUAGCUUCUAUUUUUCUAUGAUCACACACAUUAGCUUUAUGUCCUAUUUUUCCACAGCAAAAGCAAGUUAUAUUUUUAGUUUUACUUUCCCCAGCUUUUACAAAAAAGUUUUUAAGAAACUUUUGCUUAUUCUUAGAUUUAUACCCUAAACCAGCUCUAUUAAACACAA